CCGAGUCGACAAUCCGCCGUCGCAACUAGAGCAGUGCCGUUGAACUCAUCCGGCCUAGAAGAGGCAGAGGAGGGAUUUUUACCUACCGGUACAACCAGACAACUGUAAAUCCUUGAAUUUCAUCAGAUCGACCGAGGAAGGGAAGAGACCAUGCCAGAGCGAAGGUACGGAUAUUUCAGCUGCCCCAAAUGCAAUCGCGGCUGGGAGAGCUCAUGGGCCUGGUGUUACCAAGGCACCAACAAUCCGUCGUCGGGUCAGAAAUGUCAAAGUUGCGACGUGAUGGUCAAGCCGUUCAAGGUGGAGCGUAUCCGCUGUGCGAUAUGCCACUCCAGCACCGGCUGCUCCUGCGACCGGACAAAGCAUAUCGAUUUGUCCAAACCCCACCGGAGCGACCUCUGCGAGCGUUGCAUCAACGGACAACGUUGCAACUACAAUCGCCGUUAGGUCUUAUAAUCUACGAUCAACUCACCAAGUCGCGAUAAACAGAACACUCAAUUUUAUAAGGUUAAUGUCACAAACAUUUUAAGGGGAAAGCUAAGUCCUUCGUAAAGUUUUGCUCAGAUAUCGGGGAGAAAAGUCCUCACGAGAACUCAUUAAAACCCUGAGGAAGAUUCAGAGGCAGAGCACUUGCCUUCUGAGCGCCAAGUUAUUGUAGUUACUAUGCAAGGUUUUGUAGUAACCAUGCAAACUUUUGUUCUGAUACUAAUUUUUGGUCAAGGUGCUCGAAAUGACCAUGCAGUAUGCCCGUAAAUGUUUGAAUUGAAGUGUUUUCACACACCAGCACAGACAUACUAAGUAGACUUGUAGCUGUAUAGUUAUGAUGGCGGUAUAAGCUUAAGGACCCGUCGUUUCGACAUUUAUAGACAAUUUCAUGAAGUUUGACUCUCUAGCCUCUCUAGCUUUAAACAAAUGAUUUGUUAGGCUCUAGUCAUUGCAGUAAGUGUAUGCAUUUCCAAUAGUUCUGUAUUGCAUGAUUAUUUAUUAACUUAAAAGCCUAGAAACUGGAGCAAAAACCAAACGUACAACCAAUAAAUUUUAAAAGAACCAACCAACCAACAAACAAAACAAUUAAAACAAAGGGAUGGGAACCAGCAAGCAGCUGGUACGGCAGCAUAAUGUCAAAACGGAGGAAUUCCUAUACUAGAAAAAUUAUGCAGCGAUCUUCAUCUAUCAUCGUCCAGCGAGCGUAAUAUGCAUACAAUUGGGUGUCGAACACCCAAUCCGCCGGGCUAAAAGUCAUCUGUAAACCAGUCAACUCCUCAUCAGUGUAGGCAGAUCCCUAAGCAUGACACAUUGCACACCACUCCAUGGGAAAGGGGACGCCACCCCAAUCCCAUAAUCUCCGCAGGGAAAAAAAAAAUUAAAAGUGGAGGGGGGAGGAAAGAAAGAUAAUAAAAAUCCCUCAUUUGCUCGGAAAUACCUCGGAGAUGACCCUUUGACCUUCGACGCUUUGUCAGUUUGCUGCCGAUGUGUGUUUUGUCGACUCUCCUUUUAAUUGUUCAAAAAAGAGGAUUUGAGGUCUGUACGGCCAUAAACUCCCCAACAGAAAUGGUCUUAAUGAUGGAAACUGUAAAGAUAAUGGCUGACUCGGACAGCAAACAAGUACUUAGAGUGAAAGAUAGCCGUUGAAAUCUACUUGAACGAUACCCUGCCCAAAAAGGUAGACAAAAAUAAUUUCAUUAUAUACAGAAUACUUCCCAGUUUACACAUGUAUCAUCAUAAAAGCCAAUUAUACAUGGAGCUUUACUGUUAAUUAAAUACGAUUCUGCCAUGGUCUAUAAACCUAA